rnacentral:rRNA from 1 species
UACGUAGGGGGCGAGCGUUGUCCGGAAUUAUUGGGCGUAAAGCGCGUGUAGGCGGCUUGGUAAGUCCGCUGUGAAAACUCGGGGCUCAACCCCGAGCCUGCGGUGGAUACUGCCUCGCUUGAGUCCGGGAGGGGAGAGCGGAACUCCUAGUGUAGCGGUGAAAUGCGCAGAUAUUAGGAAGAACACCGGUGGCGAAGGCGGCUCUCUGGAACGGUACUGACGCUGAGA